UACGUAGGGUCCGAGCGUUGUCCGGAAUUAUUGGGCGUAAAGGGCUCGUAGGCGGUUUGUCGCGUCGGGUGUGAAAACCUACAGCUUAACUGUGGGCUUGCUUUCGAUACGGGCAGACUUGAGGCAUGCAGGGGAGAACGGAAUUCCUGGUGUAGCGGCGAAAUGCGCAGAUAUCAGGAGGAACACCGGUGGCGAAGGCGGUUCUCUGGGCAUGUUCUGACGCUGAGGAGCGAAAGUGUGGGGAGCGAACAGG
rnacentral:rRNA from 1 species